rnacentral:rRNA from 1 species
ACGCUAGCUACAGGCUUAACACAUGCAAGUCGAGGGGAAACGGCAUUAAGUGCUUGCACUUUUUGGACGUCGACCGGCGCACGGGUGAGUAACGCGUAUCCAACCUUCCCAUGACUAAGGGAUAACCUGCCGAAAGGCAGACUAAUACCUUAUGGUCUUCACUGACGGCAUCAGAUGUGAAGUAAAGAUUUAUCGGUUAUGGAUGGGGAUGCGUCUGAUUAGUUAGUUGGCGGGGUAACGGCCCACCAAGGCAACGAUCAGUAGGGGUUCUGAGAGGAAGGUCCCCCACAUUGGAACUGAGACACGGUCCAAACUCCUACGGGAGGCAGCAGUGAGGAAUAUUGGUCAAUGGGCGAGAGCCUGAACCAGCCAAGUAGCGUGCAGGAUGACGGCCCUAUGGGUUGUAAACUGCUUUUGUAUGGGGAUAAAGUCAAUCACGUGUGAUUGUUUGCAGGUACCAUACGAAUAAGGACCGGCUAAUUCCGUGCCAGCAGCCGCGGUAAUACGGAAGGUCCGGGCGUUAUCCGGAUUUAUUGGGUUUAAAGGGAGCGUAGGCUGGAGAUUAAGUGUGUUGUGAAAUGUAGACGCUCAACGUCUGACUUGCAGCGCAUACUGGUUUCCUUGAGUACGCACAACGUUGGCGGAAUUCGUCGUGUAGCGGUGAAAUGCUUAGAUAUGACGAAGAACUCCGAUUGCGAAGGCAGCUGACGGGAGCGCAACUGACGCUGAAGCUCGAAGGUGCGGGUAUCGAACAGGAUUAGAUACCCUGGUAGUCCGCACAGUAAACGAUGGAUGCCCGCUGUUGGUACUUGGUAUCAGCGGCUAAGCGAAAGCAUUAAGCAUCCCACCUGGGGAGUACGCCGGCAACGGUGAAACUCAAAGGAAUUGACGGGGGCCCGCACA